AAGGGCUGACAAGGGCAACAUGUUUUGGAAUAGUGAGCAAACUACUAGAUAAAUGAGAUAUAAUGAAAGUUUUGGUGUUGUUAAACACGUUGAUGAUGAUGUCAAUUCAUCAACUAUUUUUGGAUUCUUUGUUCACCGCGGAGGCAUGAGAGAAAAACAAAGUUUUCUUCAUGAAUUCAACUUCACAGGGAGGAGCAGCCAUCACACUGCCAUGAGUCAUGGGUGGAUUAUGAGACAGCGGACCCUUACGUGGCCCCACCAACCCUCUUACAAAGGAACUGGCGUCAUCCUCCUCUCCGUGCCUCUCUUUGCCCUGGCUGAUGUACAUCCUCUCCAGCUCGGCCAUGUUCCUCAGGUGAGCAGCCUUCAGCUCCUCCAGCCUCCUGUAGUACUCCUGGUUGGAGAAGUAAACGUG